UUUAAUGUGGCAGAAAAGUGCUAUGGAUUUAAGCUCCAUCCAUGAAGAGCUUAAUCUUCCAUUAAAA
rnacentral:tRNA from 1 species